rnacentral:rRNA from 1 species
CUCGACUUACUCCAACCCCAUGUGACGUUACCAAACUGUUGCCUCGGCGGGAUCUCUGCCCCGGGUGCGUCGCAGCCCCGGACCAAGGCGCCCGCCGGAGGACCAACCAAAACUCUUAUUGUAUACCCCCUCGCGGGUUUUUUUAUAAUCUGAGCCUUCUCGGCGCCUCUCGUAGGCGUUUCGAAAAUGAAUCAAAACUUUCAACAACGGAUCUCUUGGUUCUGGCAUCGAUGAAGAACGCAGCGAAAUGCGAUAAGUAAUGUGAAUUGCAGAAUUCAGUGAAUCAUCGAAUCUUUGAACGCACAUUGCGCCCGCCAGUAUUCUGGCGGGCAUGCCUGUCCGAGCGUCAUUUCAACCCUCGAACCCCUCCGGGGGGUCGGCGUUGGGGAUCGGCCCUGCCUUGGCGGUGGCCGUCUCCGAAAUACAGUGGCGGUCUCGCCGCAGCCUCUCCUGCGCAGUAGUUUGCACACUCGCAUCGGGAGCGCGGCGCGUCCACAGCCGUUAAACACCCAACUUCUGAAAUGUUGACCUCGGAUCAGGUAGGAAUACCCGCUGAACUUAAGCAUAUCAAUAAGCCGGGAGGAAA